CGCUGGUGUAGAUUUUGUCCUGUUUUGGUUGUGAGGAUGAGGGGCUGGUGUGGAUCAACAGUCCUGAGGGGGAAGCAGGAAUCCCAGAAGACGGAGGGUCAGGCUGGGGAAUGCAGUUCUGGAAGCUGAGAGCAGAGUGCCCAGUCCUUUCACAUCAGACUGACUUCAUCCUUCUGUCCAUUCAAUCAUCCAUCCAUCCACUUACCCAUCCAUCUAUCCAAAGGGGCACAAGGACACUUUUAGGGCUGAUGGAUGUGUUCACUGUCUUGACUGCUAUGAUGGUUUUAUGGGUGUGUACAUGUGUUAGAACUGGUAAAGUGGUAUACUUUAAAUGUGUGCAUGUGAGUGUACCUUAAUUAUAUUUCAAUAAAGUUGGAAAAAAGGAAGGUAAAUAACAGUAGGUCAAAACUGAUAACACCCCACAUUAUCCAUGGACAAGACAAUGGAUAAGCUGUGGAAUAUCCAUACAAUGGAAUACUGCUCAGCAGUAGAAAGGAACAAAUUGCUCAAAUAUACGACAACAUGGACCAUCUCACACAUGAAUGCUGAUCAAAAGACGUCAGAUGCGACAAUCAUUCUGUACAGUUCCAUUUAUAUACACUUCAAAAACAGAGAAAACAGGCCUGGCAUGGUGGCUUAUGCCUAUAAUUCUAGCACUUUGGGAGGCCAAGGCAGGUGGAUCACCCGAGGUCAGGAGUUCAAGGCCAGCCUGACCAACAUGGUGAAACUCUGUCUCUACU
rnacentral:lncRNA from 10 species